GUUUUGGGAUGUUUAGCAUUUUUUCAGAUAAAAUAGUUAUUUUCAGGUCCUUAAUUUUUGUUUGUCAGAAGCAAGCAGCCAGGGAAUGGGUGAACUUUUACCUGGACCUCACAAGAGGAGAAAGCUCUCUUUUCAAAAUCUGAUAACUCUGCAGAAGAAAACAGAGAUAUUUUCUUUCUUUAUAGGUUGACCUAUGGACCCUGCCAAAAAAAAUUUUCCAUGUGAACUUGAGUUUGCAAGGCCCUUUUUUCAGUCCUGAAAACUCUGCGUUCUGAAAAAGGACAUCUGUGAUAAGAUGGAACUUGGCACCAGUAACUCAUGUUCUAUGCGUGAAGCAUGCUCAGAAGAGGCAGACCCAGAGGUAAUCCUGAAUCUUGUAAAUGGCUCCAGGUGUUUCUGAAGAACUGCAUGUGAUUUGUCAGGAAGCUCCUGGUUCUCAGUCGUUUUGCCACGAAUGAAGCCCAACAUUUCUGAGUCAGUUACUCAGGAGUUAUCACCGGAGCCUAGUGAAGAAAGGAAAAGCUUUUAUGGAACUUUAUCACAGGAUAUAACUAGUCAAGGUCUUGUCUUUGCUACCUUGGCCCUAUCUGAAAGGAAGAAGUUUGCCCUUGAAAGAGAGCUAAACUGCUGUGAUUCACCGACUUGGAAGAAUUGCAGGAUGCUGACUGCCUGAAGUGGUGCCUCCCACUGGACCAGUGCAAGUUUCCUUCCUUCUUGUCUGACCAAGCCAUUAAGAAGUUAGUCAGUUCCCUGAAGGUUACUUCCAAGGAAUCUCCAAAAAGGAAAUAUCCAGCCCUGGAAAGGUAAUUUACCUAGACAGGAUUUGAAAUGCAAGGUACUCAGUUGAGGGAAGAAAGUCCUAUAUCCCAUCUGGCUGCUACACAAGCUUUUUAUCCCAUGAGCUAACAACUGCAGACAUUCCACUGGGAGAUGUCCUAUAAAAUCUGAACUACUUGGAGAUCCAUAUUUUGUCUCAUGUGGCCUGUUCAAGUCAGAACUGUGGUGCAUCGGUGUUCUCAGGGAAGCAGUUUUGGGUAGAGCACCAUCCUCCUUUUGAGAAUGGUUUGAAUCUGUGCCUGUGUGUGAUGUCUCCUGAACAGAAGCUAUUUUUGACUUGGUCGAGGCACACGUGGGAGGAAAUGCCAGCUAUCUGCCUUCGGGGACUAGCUGUAUCUUGCUUCCUUUGUUCUUAAGGAGCAGAUCCCCAGCUGGUGUGAAAUGGCAUUUCAGAAGUGCUACUCCUGUGAGAAGCCAGUCCUAAAGCCUGCCACACUGAUGGAGCCCAC
rnacentral:lncRNA from 1 species